rnacentral:sRNA from 1 species
AAUUGAACAACGCAAAACCAACUUUCGGUAUUCUCUAGUUUAUCGGUGCGAGGUCCGUCGGAUCCAAGACCAUUGAUUCUGAGAAGGGAAAAGGAGACCAAAUCCCAGCGGGCAAUCUUGGGUGCGGUGCUUCCCAGCCCUUGGGCUGGUGGGAAGGAGCGCAAUGAUUGAACGUACAU